rnacentral:lncRNA from 1 species
GGGGGCGAAACCCGGCUCCCGUAGGAGUCAGGACCUUCCAUUUUGCUUGAGCCGGCGUGAGGUUCUCGUUAUCAGCCUGGCUUGUGGGGGCACGUUAGGGCGCUGUAAGGCCUCUCCCCCCUCCGAUCUAAAAGAACCGGGCCUUUAACUUUGCUCAUGUCAGGAUGAGGUUCUCCUCCUGUUCCUGACAUGGCUGUGGGGGCACAUUAGGGCGUUGCAAGGCCUCUCCCCCCAUCCGGUCUAAAAGAAUCAGGCCUUUGACUUUGCUCAAGUUAGGGCGAGGUUUUCCUCCUGUCCCUAACAGGGCUGUGGGGGCACAUUAGGGCAUUGUAAGGCCUCUCCUCCCAUCUGAUCUAAAAGAACCGGGCCUUUGACUUUGCUCAUGUUAGGGCGAGGUUUUCCUCCUGUCCCAAACAAGGCUGUGGGGGCACAUUAGGGCAUUGUAAGGCCUCUCCCCCCAUCCGGUCUAAAAGAAUCGGGCCUUUGACUUUGCUCACGUCAGGAUGAGGUUCUCCUCCUGUUCCUGACAUGGCUGUGUUCUUGGAGGGAUCAUAUCCAGUCAUAAUACAUCCACGCUAGGUGGGAGGAGCAUGUUAGCUAAAA